rnacentral:pre_miRNA from 1 species
CAAGUACUCCCUCCGUCCGGAAUUAUUUGUCAUCAAAAUGGAUGUGUCUAGAACUAAAAUACAUCCAGAUACAUCCAUUUCAAUGACAAGUAUUUUCGGACGGAGGGAGUACAAG